GCCGGGGACCUCUUGGAAUAGAGCAGUUCGAACCAGGUCAGAGCAGGAAUGCAGCAGCCUUAAGAAUGCCGUUUUAUGCCUUGAGCCAUCUCCGGCUUU
rnacentral:SRP_RNA from 1 species